UAGGUGUAAAUUUUUAUUUACUUAAAAAGGAAUCCGGUGUAAAUCCGGAGCUGUAUCUGCAGCUGUAAGUGUCUUAAAAACGACUUGAUAAACCACUGACUUUCGGGAAGGUAAGUCGUACUUGACAUGAGCCAGAAUACUUGCCUUAGAGCA
rnacentral:ncRNA from 1 species